UACGUAGGGGGCUAGCGUUGUCCGGAAUCAUUGGGCGUAAAGCGCGUGUAGGCGGUCCGGUAAGUCCGCUGUGAAAGUCGGGGGCUCAACCCUCGAAUGCCGGUGGAUACUGUCGGGCUAGAGUCCGGAAGAGGCGAGUGGAAUUCCGUGUGUAGCGGUGAAAUGCGCAGAUAUCAGGAGGAACACCGGUGGCGAAGGCGGUUCUCUGGGCCUUACCUGACGCUGAGGAGCGAAGGCCAGGGGAGCAAACGGG
rnacentral:rRNA from 1 species